GAACACAAAAUGGCGACACGUGGUUAGCAUUCGUCGCCAACGAGAAAUUGGGGUCGGCCCGAAAGCUCUAGAAUGCACCCCCCUUCUUCCCCGGGGCCUUCCACCUCCGCGAGUUUUAUGACUUAAAAAACCCCACAGGCUGGUCUGAAGGUCGGAGGCCUAAUUUUAACGCGUUUUCCUCCCUUUAAUUUGAAACGCGAACGCGAAUGGCUGUAAAAUGUGGGCACAAUAUUUAAUUUCUCGCCUUUUUAAAGCUUAAUAGUGGAUAAUAGGGGGCAGUAUCAAGGGAUAAUUUGGGUCCCCACAGUACCAAAGCAUUUAGAAACCUCUGUUUAAUUUAAGGAAUGAGAUAAAUUACUGCUUUUCUAGACUUCCUAGCAUGGGCUGUUGUGCUGGAGAGAACGAGAGCUACGAAGAGACUACAAUGCCUCUGACUUUUUCAUAGGACAGUUGGCCGAGGAAGACAAACAUAAAGAUGAAGUGCUUAAUUCAAGGUCACACAAUGUCGGGGAUGGACCUCCAGAUUUCCUUACUGACCUGCAUUAUCUUGUGGAUACCUGAGUGAAUUCCACACCACCCAUUUUAUAGAUGAAACCACUGAGACAUGGAGCAACUGACUGAGUAGUCACUGCCCCACCCCUGCCUGGAGCCUCACACAUGACUCGUCUCCUCUCAGUGACCACAGGUUGGUUGAGGGGUUUAACAAGGCUAAGAAGGUGAGACGUGGUCUUGUAACACAGUGGUUAAGAAUGUGACUUUGGAGCCAGCCUGCUAGGGGCUGAAUUCUGACUCAGCCAUUUACUAACUGUGUGACCUUAGGGAGGAGGACCUGGUUGAUAGAAGAAUUUAUCUCGUAGUCUUAACAUCCACUGUAAUUCCAAACUUUGAGGACGAUAGAGAUCAGUGGGCUUUGACUGCCCAGCAUGCAGUCUCCAUUCUUAGAAAGUGACCUCAUUUCUUUUCCAGGUGGGUUCCCAAGCCUGUAAAAUGUAAGCCUUAUGCUGCUGAGGGCCAUCUUGCCACCCUGAGGGAAACGCUGCCUGA
rnacentral:antisense_RNA from 1 species